rnacentral:rRNA from 1 species
UACGAAGGGGGCUAGCGUUGCUCGGAAUUACUGGGCGUAAAGGGCGCGUAGGCGGAUAUCUAAGUCGGGGGUGAAAACCCGGGGCUCAACCUCGGAAUUGCCUUCGAUACUGGAUAUCUUGAGUUCGGGAGAGGUGAGUGGAAUGCCGAGUGUAGAGGUGAAAUCCGUAGAUAUUCGGCGGAACACCAGUGGCGCAGGCGACUCACUGGCCCGAUACUGACGCUGAGGCGCGAAAGCGUGGGGAGCAAACAGG